UAUCAGUUGGAAAGCAAGUCCUUGGAAACGUCCGUUGUCGUCAAGCUUUAUCAGCAACAAUAGCAGGGGGAAUUAAUUAGGUGGCGCUACAGUCGUCCGUAACGUCAAAAAGUCCGCCAAAUCAAUCGGCUAAAAGAUUGACGUUUAAAGUAUUUUUUGCAACUUGUCAUGCUUUUAUUAUAAUUAAAUUUUAAAAUUUGUAGGUUUUGUGACCAAUAUAAUUUCUUUACGACAUACAAACAUUACAAAAAAUAGCUUGUUAUUGCUAUUCCUUUAUCCUGUCCGUUCUAAAAAAAAAUAGCCAUCUUUUUUGUUCGCCAAAAAAAAUCGAUUUUUCCUAAUUUGACGUUUGCGUAUCCAAAUACAGAAAAGAACGGUUAUAAUCUUAAAUGAAACCGGGAAACCUAUUUCAAAUUUAUACACUGUUUUGAAGCCAUCAUUUUUUACUUUUAUACAUCAAUUUUAGUGACCACCAGCCAUGUCAAUUUUUAUCUGGUUUUAGCUACGUUUCUACUUCAAAACAGUAAAGUUUAGCUUCUUUUCAUUGUACCUGUUUCAAAGUGCUCUAAAAUACUGAUUUUAUUAAAGACAUGAAUGAAAUUUUGAUUAAAAGUUGUGGAUUUUCACAAUUCCAUACGAUACUUGUAUUUUAAAGUAACUAAAACCCCUUUUGAUCCCCUACACAAAUUGACGGUGACAUUGUUUUCUUUUUUCAACAUACGUCAUGUAACGUUUAUAACAAAAUAUGUGUCAGGGUCAUGUGCAUAGUAAAAAUUUACACAUUGGAAAAGUGAAACAACAAACAAAGAUCUUCUUUAUUGCGUUUAAAGCUAAACGUCUUGGAAAAUUCUGACAGAUCUGACAAAUUAUUGAUAGCCUACUGUAUGGAUGGACAAAAGCACAAAAAUAGCAAUAGAAAAUGCAUUGCAAAGAAAAUUCUGUAGGAAAAAAAACAUAUGAAAAAAGAAAAUGAAGGUCAGUUAAUAAAAUCUUGCUUAUAUUAUUAUCUCUUUACUUAGUAAGCUAUAUUUCCAUUCUCAAUUUUAUAGUAAUAAGAGCAAAAACUAGCUUAUCAAGCCAAGUCAGCCAAACAA
rnacentral:lncRNA from 1 species